rnacentral:rRNA from 1 species
AAUAGAUACCCAGGUAGUCCACGCCGUAAACGAUGAGUGCUAAGUGUUAGAGGGUUUCCGCCCUUUGGUGCUGCAGCUAACGCAUUAAGCACUCCGCCUGGGGAGUACGGUCGCAAGACUGAAACUCAAAGGAAUUGACGGGGGCCCGCACAAGCGGUGGAGCAUGUGGUUUAAUUCGAAGCAACGCGAAGAACCUUACCAGGUCUUGACAUCCCACUGACCGGUAUAGAGAUAUACCUUUCCCUUCGGGGACAGUGGUGACAGGUGGUGCAUGGUUGUCGUCAGCUCGUGUCGUGAGAUGUUGGGUUAAGUCCCGCAACGAGCGCAACCCUUGAUCUUAGUUGCCAGCAUUUAGUUGGGCACUCUAAGGUGACUGCCGGUGACAAACCGGAGGAAGGUGGGGAUGACGUCAAAUCAUCAUGCCCCUUAUGACCUGGGCUACACACGUGCUACAAUGGAUGGUACAAAGGGCUGCAAGACUGCGAAGUCAAGCCAAUCCCAUAAAACCAUUCUCAGUUCGGAUUGCAGG